AAGGAGCUUCCGACCGACGCCUGACCGAGAGCACGGGCCAAAAGGUGAAGCACAAGAAAGGUCAGGCUCUUGCUGAACCCAGCAGGCCCCCGACCGACAAAUGGGUCUCACCCCAACGACGGAGCCCGAGAUCGCCCCGAUGGCGAAGUCCGAAGCUGGUGCAUCACAGGUAUGACUCCUACACUCCCCUCUCUGCUUCUCGUGCGCAGAUCUUGAUGGAGAUUGAAGGAGCGAAAUAUCUGCGACGGCCUCCGCCUCUGAAGGCAAAAAGCCUCGAUCAGAGAAGGUACUGUCGGUUCCAUCGGAGCCGCGGUCAUACCAUCGAGCAAUGCAUCUAACUCAAGGAUGAGAUAGAGG
rnacentral:lncRNA from 1 species